CACUUGAAAUCAAUAAGAUUGAAUUUCCCUGCCUUUCUAUGUGUGAGAUUGGAGAUUUUCAAUGUAAUCAUUUUUAGACUUGAUUUGCUUAUUGUUAACUCUUGUGUUUUGGCUUUAACCAUUCUUCGGAAGAUUGCAACAAAAAGUUUUCCCUUAUCUUCUUAAGCUUUAGUAGGAUUCAGAAAGCUCUGACCCCUCCAUUAGGAAGACUGCAAAAGGAUGCUCAUUACUUCCUCAGGUGGUCUUUAGCAUUCCUUUAUAUAUUUCAAAAGCGAAUUGAAAGCUUUGAAAGUAAAAUCAUAUAUUGGAAGGAUUUUAUUAUUGCUUUGAAACACGAUACAAACAAUGCAUGAAUGAAUCUUUCACCAAUUAAAUUGGCAAAGGGUUGAUGAAGCUUAAUGAUUUGUCCAGAAGGAGCACGCUAAGCUCCAAAGAACUCGUGACAUCAGUACUAGCCAAUCUUAUCAAAGGUUUCUUUCCAAGAAACGUUAUAAGAUACUUUUGGCAGAAUUAGCUUCAUUGAAAGAAUUUGUGAACUUUAUCCUGUAUAUUGGAAAAUGGAUAGAUCAGAUACAUCUGGGUUUGUUAGUGGCGGAGGCUGUAUGCUGAUAUAUCUUUUCCCAGUGAUAAACUUCUAAAGGUAUGUCGAUUUUCUAGUAGCUAUGCGGUGACCUGCUUUGCUACCUCAACCUUCUAUUAGCUGUAUUACACGACAUCUGGAUAAUGGAUUUAAACAAGAAAGCUGCACAAUCUCCUUAUGAUGCUGAACUUAGGAAAAAUGAUAACUUCGGUGAUACUACAUUAUGCUUGAAUGUCAUUGGAUUUGGAGAAACCAUGACUAAUUAUAGAUGUACAAAGAGCAAUCUUGGGCCCAAUCCCAAUGGCAUAUGAUGAUGACUACAACAAUUUGGGGUUUAAUAAGAAGAAAAAUUGUUGAGUGAACAAGUGUUUUUAUAUUCAAGUUUUUAGAAGACUUUAUGUAUUGUUUUUAGUGUUGAAGUGUCUAUAUAUAUUUUUUUGGUAGGGUUGACAUAAUCAUAAGUAUUAUCAAAGUUCUAGUGGCAUCCAUUUACACUUCUUAGACGAUUAUUUAGAUGAGUAUGAGUAGGUUAUUUAAUUACUUUACUUUGAAUAUUUUGUAUUAUUAGCGGAUUGCAAUUUAAACGAAUGUAAGUCUAAGUUUAGUUAUUUAUUUUGUCUUGAGUCUUUAUGUU